rnacentral:lncRNA from 1 species
ACCAGGAACACCAGGAGGAGGAGGAGAAGAAAUAAUGAGUGAUUGUGUCUCCGUUUAUGGAAAGAGUUUGAUGGGGUACUAAUGUUGGUAAAUAUAAUAUUCAAACAUGAAAUUCUAAUAAAAUAAGUGAAAGAUAUCAGAAAGCCUUCAAAAUCCUGCAAACACAAUAUACAGAAUAUAUAUUAAAUUUAAUUGACAACUAUACCUUCUUAGAUCUAUUGUUCAUUUGAUAAUUAUUUCAAAUUUUUUCUUCUCCAUUUAAUAGUAUGGCUCUUAAGAGACCUGCAGUGUAUGUUAAGACUAUUUGGAUUUGUGCUUUCAUAAGGCUUAAAAUGUUUAUGUAUUUUUUUUUAAUUUUCUAUUUGUAUCUUUGUAUAGCAUCUUUGAAGAAAUGUGUACUCAAAGAAUUACUCAUGUAGAAUCUCACUGUGCUGCCAUCUGGGACAUCAAGUUCAUUUGUGAACCCAUGCUUCCUCUCAGCAUCAUAAGAAGAUCACUACAGAAGCUGAUCACCACACUUAGCUAGUGGUAUUGUAAAAUCUCUUCAUUAAUGACUUUCAUUUUUGCUUGCUUGUGUAUAAAAUUGAAUUGAAAGUUUAUAUUAUCUCAUUUGCUAACAGGUUUGCUUAAAACCCUCUUAGAAAUAACAUUUUUAUUACUUGUCAUGUUUUUUUUUAUUUACAGCAAGAUAUUUAAACACUGAAUAUAUUUUGUAGUAUUUAAUUUUUCAUUAUUUAAAACAAUGUUUAAAUCAAAUAUUCAAUUAUAUUAUGCCAUUCCUCCAAGUUCUUCAUAUUGUCUCCCAUUUUCUACCCAACUUUAAGUUCUUUGUCAAUAAAGAUACAAAAAUCCAAUUGAAAACAAACCCCUCAAAAUCAGGAAAACACAUUCAAAACAAACAAUCAGAAAACCCCAAACAAACAAUAAAGAAAACAACAAAAAU